UGUUAAAAAUUUUAUUCAUUUUUAUUAUAAAAAACUGAUAUAACUGACAAAAUAACAAGGUAAUUACACAUAGCAUGCUAAGUGUAUCUCAUGUUGUUUACAUAGAAAGACCAAAUUUUAACAUUAAAAAUUGAUAAAAGUUUUAACA
rnacentral:pre_miRNA from 1 species